CCUAUCCCUGUAGGCUUAGCAGGAGUGGCUGCUGUGUCACCUGUACGUCAGUAGGUGGCAGAAAGGAGAGAGGCUGUGUCUUUGCUCAGUGUUCUCACCUGUGAACAGCUGAAUGAUUAGUCGCCUAACAUU